GUCUCCACAAAUAGCAGGCGUGUGAUCGCCUAGCUUGUGUCUGUCCACUUCCUUUCCUAGAAGACACCCCUCCUUUGUUCCUGUGACUACCUUCUUCAGGAUUGGUACCCACUACUUCCGGGAACUUCCAGGGUCUCUGCACCCUGGCCAGGUUCCUUCCUCGGGAACCAGGGGGGAGGGCAUGGUGCGGAAGCAGGGAAUGAGGGUGCAAGUGAGAGCUUGCCCAUCCCUCAAAGGCCCAAAUGGGAGGGGAUGGUGAACUGACCAAGGUAACCCGUUUUGCUUUAACCUGACUCCAUUUGUGUGCUUCACCCAACAGCUCCGUGGCCCUGAUGGGUUAUGGUGUUACGGGGUUGCAGACCACUGGGAAACAUCACGCAGACUCAAACAAAUCCAGUUAGCUGAAUGUUGGCCAGCUGACUGUAAGAGGUCUGAACUUCCUCCAUUUUACAAACUGGGUCCAAGUUUCUGUUUCUUAAAGGGCUGUUAAUCAACAAACAGCACCCCUGAUAGCAGGGACAAGGGAGAGAGCAUGGACAAGGCCUGAUUCCGCGUCACAGUAUCUCAAAGCAAUGACCAAUAAGGACAGUUCCUACCGGUUGUGCCCAGAUCGAGACCCCCAUUGAGACCACUGAAGUCGAGCAUUCUGGAAUGCAAAAGCAAGGCUUUAUUCGGGCGCAAUACAAGCCUAGUCAGGGACCUCGGCAAGCACACCCGACCCAGCGGAGGAUGGAAUAGGUACUCAGCCUGAAUUGAACAUAGUUUUUUAAAGGCAAAAACCAUAGGAUUACAACAGCAAAGAAUUAUUUCCGUACGGGUUCCUGGAAUUUGGGUCAACGGUUCCAGGAACCUACACCUAGAAUGUAGAAGCUUACAAAAUGGAGGCCUUAUUAAGAUGGAGGUGCUUUGGUCUCACACUACAACCUCCCCCCUUCAAAACUUACCCAGUGGGUAGCCAUUCCAGCUUUGAUCUGGAAGUUCCAACCCCCAUUGAGGCUUCGGCAACUGUCACGCCUACAAGGUGGGGCGGCGCCUGGGGACCCGAGAUCUGGAUGGGCGAGUGCUCUCAGUUCCUGGACCCCAGACGGAGACGUUGACUGAGCAGAGCUCCAGAGAACACCGCUGGACUGCAAUACACCUUCCCCAGACCCCGCGACCUACCUAUUCCUUCAUUUCACCAAUCUACUUCAGAUGGACAUUGAAGAAACCCCACAUGGAAUUUACUUUCUUUGUGGCAAAAGUAAGCCACUGAGCAAGAAAAUGCCCUUGCCUUGACUGCUGACAAAAUGCUGUCCAAAUUGGACAAGCAGGAUACAAAAGAAAGUGAAAACUGAACUUUGCCAAGACAAGGUAUGACAGCCCUUCAGAAAAUUCUGCUUCACAGAAAAGUCUAACCAAUAUGCUAGGACUGUAGUCUGAAGAUGGAUGCCCCAAUAUUGCAAAGGAAUCUUGGAUGACUGUCCAGGCAGCCAGCUGUUUCUGUCAUUUCUCACAGUUUUUGGAAGUUGCUUGCUUGCACUUCCUGCUUAUUCAGGUAAUAUUUCCUUCUUGAGUCUCUGAUAGAGUUGAAGACUUUAUAGUUAUAGUUUUAGUUUUCCUUGUUACCAGAUUCAGAAAAGAAAUCCACUAAAGAGGUAUAAAGUGUAUAGCGUUGAGAGACAUUAAAAGAGAGUUUUGAUAAUGCAAGUUAGAAUAGAAUGUGAAUUAGUUAAAACCCUUUGGACUCACCAAGAUAGGAUAGAUAGUGGAAUAUUUUCUCUGAAUUUGUUAAAUGUUAAUGGACUGGGCAUUGUUAAUAUAAUUAUUGCUUGUAUAUAUUAUAUAUAGUUAUUGUAUUUAUUGUAUAUAGUUUCUCUUAUAUUAGUUAUAACCUUCUUUUCUAUUUUAGACAAAAAGGGAAUAUGUGGUGAUAUUUUGUUUGUCCUUUAACAAAUAAAGCUUGCCUGGAGAUCAGAGUGCAGAGCUAGCCACUAGAUGCCAGGCAGUGGUGGCACACACCUUUAAUCCCAGCACUUGAAAGGAGGAAACGGAAAGUGAUAUGGCUGGGUGGAGAGGGGAAGUGAUAAGGCAGGGUGCAGACAGGAGCUCAGCCUUUUCAAUCUGAGGAUUCCUAGAGGGAAGAAGUCUUACUAGCGGCUGCUCUGGUCCUCUGAUCUUUCUUCCUUCACUCUGAUAUCUGACUCUGGGUUUUUAUUAAUAAUACCAAUCAGAAUUUGUGCUACAAGCCAUCCUCCAGAUCCCCAUGCCUCAGACCAAAAAACAACUAUGCAAAUUUCUGGGGGUAGCAGGUUAAUGCUGUCUUUGGAUCCUUGGUCUUGCCAAGAUAGCAAGGCUUUCUAUGUGACUACUACAGCAGAGAAACCAUGAAAAUGGACUGAGAUAGAAAACCAAGCCUUUCAGGACUUGAGAAUGCCCUAAUACAAUACCCAGUUCAGGCCUUACCUGAUGUCACAAAACUGCUCCAUCCUCCUUUUCAUUCAUGAGUUCUGAGGGAUUACCAAAGGUAUGCUUACCCAGACCUUUGGAUCGUAUCAGAGGCCUGAAGAAUACCUAUCCAAAUGCUUGGCUUCUGGGUGGUCACCCUGACUGUGUCAUAGCUGCUACCAGCCCUGUUGGUAAAGGAGGCUGACAGGCUCACCUUAGACCAGGACUUACCCCUUAUGGAGAUCCUGUUCCAGGGAUCAAAUGCCUGAUGGAUGUCAAAUGGCCACAUUUCCCAAUACUAGAGCCUGUUUCUCCAUCAGCUCCAUGUUCAGAGCCUCAGCCCAGCAACAGUGAUGCCAGACAGUGACCUGAAAGUACUCUUUGUUUGUUUGUUUGUUUUUAUUUUUUUCGAGACAGGGUUUCUCUGUGUAGUUUUGGACCUGUCCUGGAUCUCGCUCUGUAGACCAGGCUGGCCUCAAACUCACAGAGAUCCACCUGGCUCUGCCUCCCGAGUGCUGGGAUUAAAGGCGUGCAGCACCACUGCCCAGCCUGAAAGUACUCUUAAAGAAUUGAGAGGAUCCAUUGGACAUCUUCCUCAGAUUAGCUUCCCAGACUUCCACCUCCACCCAAACAUCCCCUUGCCUGAGGCAGACAUUGGCUUGUUUACAUGUGGAAGCAGCCUCAUAAUGAAUAGGGUUCAAGGGGCAAGAGCUUCUGUGACCACCAGAAAGGAUAUCAUUUUGGCCCAGGGCCUGCCUCUGGGCACCUUCACACAAAAGGCUGAGCUGAUUGUUCUUGCCUGGGCUUUGCUUGGGAAAGGGUAAUUGGGUAAACAUCUUCAAAGACAGCAGGUAUUCCUUCACCAGUCUUCAUGCCAAUGCCACAAUCUAUAGGGUAAGGGGGCUCCUAGUUGUGGAAGAAAAACCAUCAAAAACAAAAAGGAAAGUCUAGCUCUCCUCGAGGCUAUCUGGCUCCCCAAGGAAAUAACAGUCAUACACUGCAGGGAUCAUCAAAAGGCUGACAUUGACAGACCAAGGGGCCCUAGCAGGCUGCCGAACUCUGCAUUGAGCUGUGCACUGUUCUGCCCAUAACCUUUUCUGACCUAGUGUUCCCCCUCAGCCAACAUACACAGAGAGAGAAGACAGUGCUCAUUCCUAGGGAACACAAAAGAACCCUGUGCAAUGGUGGACCCUGCUGGACUACAGGAUCAUUCUUCCCACAGCCCUCAGACAUCUCCUUGUGGACCAACUACACCAGAGGACCCACCUAGGUGCCACCAAACUGACUGGGUCACUAUCUUUUAAAUAACAGAUCUGCCAGGUUCAAAAACUAACCACCUAGCCAGUCUUUCUCUGCCUCUCAUACAGUCAGGUCAACCCUAAACAAGGAUUCAAAGGUACUGGUAUGCAGGCCAUUCUCUGUUACGAGAUAUUUGAUUACACUGUGAAAAGAUAUGUCACUGUGACAUUGGUUUAGUAAAAAGCUAAAUAGCUAAUAGAUAGGCAGGAGGUCUAGGUGGGACUUCUUGACAGAAAGAGCUCUGGGAAGAAGAGUCACCAGCUGGACACAGAGGGAACCAGACAUGCAGGAGGAGAGGUAAAAGCCAGGAGCCAUGUGGCAGCAUAAAGAUUAAUAAAAAUGGAUUAACUUGUUAUAAGAGCUAUUUAGAAAGAAACCUAAGCUAUACGCUGAACUUUCAUAAUUAAUAAUAGGUCUCCAUGUCAUUUUUUUUUUAAAGCUGAAAUCCCAAAGAAAAUCUGUCUACAAAUGGUACCCCAAAUGGGGCUACAUAUAUCCACAUAAGGACUGAGAAAAGUUGUUUUUUGAAGUUCAGAACAUGGAGUCAAGCAUGGUUUCCUAGUGACCACAGUCUUCUGGGUAGGCUCAGUGAUGUUCAGGGAUAUGGCUACUGGCCAUUGCCUGUGGACUGGAGCCAGCUGGCAGCAGCAUGUGCCAGCACCAUGAGCUAAGCUGAGCUGCAUGGCACUUGACUUGUCUCAUGUAUGGGAGGCCAGCUGGGAGACCAGCUCCCACAUUCUAUCCCAGGGUACUCUUGAGGAGUGAGGGAUAAGAGAUUUAGAUAGAAGGAUAGAGGGGAGAAAAACAGAAAUACAGGAUCGGCUCAAGAUGGCCUGGAUCCUCUCCACUGGUCCCUCCUGUUUCUUCUAAAGGGCUAUUUAUAGGAAUGCCAAGGGGUGGAGCAAAAGACCUCUCCCUAGCUCAGCCAAAUGUAGACCCUUCCAACCACCUAGAAACCAUGCACAUGGUCAAGCAAUCAUCUAAUGCAGUUCUGCUGGGUAACGCAAGC